rnacentral:rRNA from 1 species
UGGGGAAUAUUGCACAAUGGGCGCAAGCCUGAUGCAGCCAUGCCGCGUGUGUGAAGAAGGCCUUCGGGUUGUAAAGCACUUUCAGCGAGGAGGAAGGUGGUGAACUUAAUACGUUCAUCAAUUGACGUUACUCGCAGAAGAAGCACCGGCUAACUCCGUGCCAGCAGCCGCGGUAAUACGGAGGGUGCAAGCGUUAAUCGGAAUUACUGGGCGUAAAGCGCACGCAGGCGGUUUGUUAAGUCAGAUGUGAAAUCCCCGGGCUCAACCUGGGAACUGCAUUUGAAACUGGCAAGCUAGAGUCUCGUAGAGGGGGGUAGAAUUCCAGGUGUAGCGGUGAAAUGCGUAGAGAUCUGGAGGAAUACCGGUGGCGAAGGCGGCCCCCCUGGACGAAGACUGACGCUCAGGUGCGAAAGCGUGGGGCAGCAAACAGGAUUAGAUACCCUGGUAGUCCACGCUGUAAACGAUGUCGAUUUGGAGGUUGUGCCCCUUGAGACGUGGCUUCCGGAGCUAACGCGUUAAAUCGACCGCCUGGGGAGUACGGCCGCAAGGUUAAAACUUAAAUGAAUUG